GCUAGAUCACUUAGCGUGUUAGCAGAGUUACUGUGUGCACGUCUCAUAAAGGGCCUCUUGCUGCCUGGGUGUGCACGCGCAAUAACUGAACGAAUCAGGUGAUACGUCCCUGGAUGGUUGUGAAGCUCUAAGGAAAAUCCCCACAGCCUCUGCGACUGGACCGAGCAUCGAAUGUUGGCGGGGCCUAUGCUCUUUCAUGCUUUCUCUCGGAGUCUGAUACGCACGUAGAGUAUUGGAGAUACACAUAACCAUUCAAACUGGUGGAAGCCAAUCUGGCAAGUUUUCAGGUCGCAAAUCUGUUUAGAAGGAGCUCAGACCCACGGGUUUGGAUUUCUGCAGGAAAAGUCAGCAGCGUAUAAAUAUAGAAGACAUACAAUAAAAUGCGGACGCGAUAUUGCAAUAAUUAUGUUAAGAAGGCUUAGUGGAGCUACCUUUUUGAAACAUCUGGUUUGUUUCUGGUCUUUCCACAUCCUGCAGAUGUUGCCGAAGCCAUGAAAUACACUGACAGGAGAAUACAUUAGCUCACGAAGUCAUUCCCAUGAAUAAAGCAAAGGGUAGCCUCUUAACUUUCUAAAAA
rnacentral:lncRNA from 12 species